rnacentral:lncRNA from 1 species
AAUCUGUCACGCCCCGGGGUCCCUUUUAGGUUAAAACACAGCGAAAAUUUUUUUAAAAAAACCUGACCCCAGGAUAUGCCAAAUUCUCCACAAAUACAGGGAAUCCACUAUUCACACGGACAGUCUCCCCUGUAUUUGCACGGCAUCGCACAAGUACAAGAAUAUAACCAGGAUACAACCACCAUAAUGAAUAAACAACCAUCAAUAUUCAUUCACCAUUCAUCACAGAUUUACCAUUCAUAAUUCCACGACUAUUAGUUAAAACGUUUCCAACUCAGAAACGGGUUUUGAAAUACUAAGUUAUGAAAACCACGAGAAAGCUGUUUGAAAUUCGUUUUUCAUAAGGAAACUCUUUUCUUUUAAAACACGCUACCACGAGGGGUAGAAAACCUUUCCAUUUCACAAAAUCUACAAAUUCAUUUAUUAUAUUCAUGAAAACCCACAUUUUCAAAUGUAAUAAAAAUACUAAACCAUAUAAACUAUCUAACCUAUAUUAAUAGAACAGUAAGGGUAGGAACUAAACCGAAUAACCUGGGUCGGAAGCUCUAUCGACCGCUACGUACAUGUCUCACGUCUCGUCUCAACUCUCACCGCCCACGAUACCUGAAAAAAAUGGUGGGGGAGGUGAGAACAUGUAAACAUGUCUCCUCUCCCAGUGGGUACCGCAAGCCGAUGAAGGCGAGGAGUACUCACCGGAUCAGGAAGAGCUAAACAACAGUACAGGUCAGUAGAAAAUACGGUAACAAUAAUAAUGAAUGAAAGAGACAUGUAUAUGAAAGAAAGUACAACUACCGCUACUGUAAUGAACAACUGAAUGUAUAUAUGUAACAAGACUAUAGUAGCAAGACAAUCUAACGAAAGAACUGAAGAUAUACAAGCGACAACUGCUACUAUAGUUAUAUGCGUCAACCAGAUGAUAAGUCCAAAUAUACCCAAUCUGAUGCUGCUAUAUUGGUCCGCAAACCUCAAGCGUUGCCUGUCACAGAGCAGACACUGAGAGCUUAUUCAUGCGUCACCGACGACCUAUUCGGAUACGUACACCUCUUGUUGGCGGCCAAACCAACCUGGUGUCUAGAAUACACAGUGCUGUGACUAAAUCAUGCUGAUAUGCUCAAACGAAAUCUGGCUAAAUCCGGUGCCUAGGCCGAAGCCAGAAACAAAGGCGUACAACGCCAAACCACGAUCAACUAGAUUGAAACACAUGACAAAAGAGUCGAUGUGUUGCCUGGACCCAAGGUCCAUAGAGUCCAACUGACCAACAAGGUCUCUGAUACGAAGUACGAGAACCGACCAACCAUGUCAAUAGAUACGGAAUGCAACAACCAACCAACUAGAUCAACAGAUACGGAAUGCAACAACCGACCAACUAAGUGAGCAGAUACUGACUGCAACAGCAGACCAACUAAGUCAACAGAUACGCAUAUAGAUAGAACUACUCUACUCCUACUCAGGAUACUAAGCAUGCAAACAACUAGUAGAGUAUAACGAAUAAACAAGGGUGCAAGGCUCAAUAUACUAUGCGAUAGUAACAACAGAAGAGUAAGGGUAAGAAACCAUCACGAAGCGUGCACCACUGUACCGACGUCGGAUCGAAGUACCCACCUGUAAGGGUGUCACGUCUGUCUCCUGACUGCAAAAGAAUGUCGACAGAACCAGAGCAGUGGGAGCUAGGGUUGGUCUCCAACGGCCGGACGGCGAGCGCUUUGGCCGGAGAUGGGAGCGACUGGUCCAAGGGGUCCAGGGAACUUGCUUGCCGGCGGCGGGAGGCGGCCGGUGGCGCGUCGGAGGAGAUCAAUUCCUCGACUUGCUCUCGGUUCAUGGGUUCCCAGCGGCGCGCCGGCAGUCGGAGGAGGUCGGGGCGACGUCGAUCCGUCGUCGGAGGCCGAGGGGAUCAUGAUGCGCCCUUCCGAGGUCGGCGGCAUCGUGCGGAGGCGCUGCGGGCUCAAACUCGGCCCGCUCUAGGUCUGGGCGGGUGCAGAGAGCAAAAGCGGCGGCCGGCGACCUCAGGGGCGGCGGCGACCGGCAGGAACGACACCGGAGAUGGAUCUCGGCCAAGGGAAGAUGGGGCUCGAGCUAGGGUGGCUUCCUUGGUCCGCAACCACAAUGUGGUGGAGUGGUUGGCCGAGAGGGAGGGAGAGGGUAGUGCGGAAGGGUUUUCCGGUGGCCGGAGGAGCAUGCCGGUUGCCAGGGCGCGCGCACGGCAGGGCAAGGGAUGAAGCUAACGACGACUAGGGUUAGCUGGUAGCUGGGAGGUUCGGAUUAGGGUUUUCUUUGUGAAACCCUAGCUAACUUAUAUAUAUAUAGGGUUAAAUUGCCGAAAAGUCCUCCAAAACCUCAUAAUUUAAACCGAGUCCCUGCCCACGCGUGUAUUUUGCACUUACGCACCUCCACAUCCGAUCACGCGUGAUUCCGUACAUAAAAUGUUGCGACUUUUGCGAAAUUACCGUUUUGCCAUCGCCGACCUCUCCUCGAUCAACGUGCGAUCUCCGCAGAUCCGUCCGUCAGAUUUGCGAAUGGAUAGCACCAGUGCGAUCAGCACCAUGGAGACCAGAAAGCUACUAUUUUGGUUCAUCUCGAUCGGUCGCGGAUUCGUGACGAGAACCGUUCCAACUCUCCAAUAGAAGAAACUAUGCAAAAAUACAUAUAAAACAUGUAUUUUUGGAUUUUCUCGAAAUCCGUGCAUCAAACUCAAAUUCCGUCUGCGCCAGUAGUUCCAAAAUAGCUGAACCGGUCGAAACGAGCUAUUGGACCACUAUGAACGGAGUCCGAUAUGCGCCGAAAGCCAACUCUACUCUGUGGCUUCUCCGGAAAACCGGAGCUACUAUUCACUUAAGUGAAAACUAAAAAUCGUGUAUCUUCUCCAUUUUAGCUCAUUUUCUCCUGAAACUUGAUGAAUGCUUAUGUAAUUAAAUUACACAUAGGAACAUCGUCAAUAGAGAGUUUAGUUAUACUGUAAAAAUCUCAGUCCUUACAAAAUGAUUAGAAUAACCUGCUCUCGGACAUAGAACUCAUGUGUGACAUAGUGGAUAAAAAUGCCAUAAAGAGGCAUUCAACCUAGUAAAUGGUUAAAUUGCUACAUGAUGACAUCGAACUUGAGACGAUUGAUUAUGCUUGUUUGCCAUUUGUGCUCAUUCGCACAUACUUGUGAGAGUCGCUCCCUACAAACCGGCACUCCGGAGUUAGCCUCCACGACAUACACUCGCUCGUGCGGUAUUGAGAAGCCUACUGGGCCAGGUGGGAUAAACUCAUUCCUAGAGUGGGAAUGUUGGGGCUACCACUGGCAAUUAGGCGGCACAAGCCGGACUACACUUAUGUAGGUCCUAAAAUUGAGAUUGGAUAUUGAAAUUAACCUUUAUCAUGAAAAUCACUACUACAUAGCUUAUAGUAGUUGGAUUCUUGGGACAUGCUUGGGGCUUACUAUUGGACAUGUGGUUACUUGCUUAGACAUGAUAGUAUACUUGGUAGCCUUACUUGUGAAUAAUAGUAUACAUAUUAGACAUGUUUAGAGCAUACUAGUAUAUUCAUGAGAUAUACUCAUUCAUGUUGGACUAGCUAUUGCAAUUGUAGAAUUUCAUACUAAGUGGAGGCAUAAUAGUGUAGCAAUUUAAUACUUGUUAAUUAAUUAUGUUGUUCAUUUUCAGUUACAUAUCUCUACUUAUGCUUUUUGAGCCUAGUGGUGCUUUCUCGCUGAGGUCAGCAAUUGCCCACUGGGAACUAUUAAUUAUAGUUCUCACGCCCCUUGUUUGAUGUUUUCUUUCAGAGCCAUCCACACUGGUGGAGGCUCGAGAUCGUGGCAAAGGGACCGCUUAGCUAGUUAGCGAGGAGUGUUUGCUCUUAGGUUGUCAUCUCUCUAUUUUUUUGUACCUUUGUAGAGAGCGAGAGUUUUUUGUAUCCAUGUAUAGAUACCACCACUAUUGUAUCUUUGGCAUUUGUAUUUUGGAUUUUAUGAUGUACUAUUUCAUGCUUUCAUUAGUGGAUUUAGUUCCUUUGUUUAUCUAUUCUACUUAUCUCUAGAAUCUAGAUGUAUGCUCUGAUAUCUUUAGAUACUCGAUAUACUUGUCUUAUUAUCGCUUUAUUGUAGACGUCUUAUAUGUGUUGACAUAUGGCGGGUCUGGACCCACACCGGGCGGGCCUCCGCUAGGUCUCGAGGCGUGACAUAUAUAUAUAGAGAGAGAGAGAGAGUAGAGCUACUAUGCUAUCUGAAGCAUAAAUUGGUUGGUGCUUCCAAUUUUUUAGCCCUUAGAUCAACUCCAUUGAUCAUUUCUAAUCAUUAGAUUAAUAUUAUUAACCAAAGGGGAUUCACUAAACCCUAGGGUGACCACUCAACCCUAAGGGGAUCGCUAUCAUCCCAACCGUAAAAUUUUUUAUCAAAGGGUUAAAAAAUCGGAAGCAUCAACUUCUUUAUGCUUUCGAUAGCAUAGUAGCUCCACACUAUAUAUAUAUACACUAGUUAAGGAAUUCGUCGUAACGGUUCUUUUACUUUCUUUACAGAUAAUUAAUAAAUAACAAAAUAUUUUUAUUUAUAAAAUAAAUAUUUCACUUUAUUAAAUAAACAAAUUUUAGAGGCAUUUUCCAUCACAAAGUAAUGGGCGUGCAUUUUCCAUCAAAAUUUUAUUUUUUUUCUUUUUAAAUUUUAGAUAUUCAAAUUUUAAAUUUUAAAUUUUUAAAUUUUAUAUUUUAUAUUUUAUAUUUCAAAUUUUAAAUUUCAAAUUUUAAAUUUUAAAUUUCAAAUUUGACAAUUUAGAUUUUAAAAUUUAAAUGUAAAAAUUUAAAAUUUUUAAAUUUUAAAUUAUAAAUUUUAAUCUUCAAAUUAUAAAUUUCAAAUUUUUAAAAUUAAAAAUUUAUAAAUUUUAAUCUUCAAAUUAUAAAUUU